ensembl:lncRNA
GCCCGCCGGGCGCCGAGCGCAUCGCCCCGCUCUCGCACUCACUCUCGUGCGCAGGCCCCGCAGCCGCCGCGAUCGGAGGCGGUGCUCGGCCAGGAGCCCGGCAGGGGCCGGAGAAGGAGAGGACUUGGGUGAAAAGCUGCCGCCGCACCUGAGACUCCACUGCUGCCACCGCCGCUGCUGUUACCGUGGGGACCUGCCUGAGACCAGGCCAGGGACAGAGCUUCACUGGUCAGAGGGGCUCCUUCCACCUGCAGAGAUCUGCGGAGGUGCUGACCUGACAUCAAGGAAGCAGGAGGCGGGGCCUGGUUGUCAAGUCAGGAUGGAAGCUGACUCCCUGUCCGGUGCUCCAGGCUGACUCCCUGUCUGGUGCUCCCUGUCAGAGCAGAGACGACUGGCCGCCCUGAGCGCAAUUCAAUUCAACAGACAUUUACUGAGUGCCUACUAUGCGCCAGGCCUUAGGCUAGGCACUGGG